UAGUUAAGGUCUUGAAACUCAAAGAAUUUGGCGGUGUUUUAGUCUAUUCAGAGGAACCUGUCCUGUAAUUGAUAAUUCACGAAUUAUUUUACUUGAUUUUGUAAAGUUGAUUUCAGUUUGUAUACCGCCGUCAUCAGAUUAUUUUUAUAGAAUUAUUAAUUUUCUUUAACUUUAAUUAGGGUAUAUGUCAGGUCAAGGUGCAGUUUAUGAUUAAGUAGAGAUGGGUUACAAUAAAAUUAUUUAUAUGGAUAUUAAGAUGGAAAUAUUAAUUGAAGGUGGAUUUGAUAGUAAUGUUGUAAUAAUUUUGCAAGUUGAUUUUAGCUCUAAAAUAUGCACAUAUCGCCCGUCGCUCUCAUUAUUAAGGUGAGAUAAGUCGUAACAUAGUAGAUGUACUGGAAAGUGUAUCUAGAAAGU
rnacentral:rRNA from 1 species